AGAGUUUGAUCCUGGCUCAGGACGAACGCUGGCGGCGCGCCUAACACAUGCAAGUCGAACGAGAGAGAGGGAGCUUGCUUCCUUGAUCGAGUGGCGAACGGGUGAGUAACGCGUGAGGAACCUGCCUCAAAGAGGGGGACAACAGUUGGAAACGACUGCUAAUACCGCAUAAGCCCACGGCUCGGCAUCGAGCAGAGGGAAAAGGAGUGAUCCGCUUUGAGAUGGCCUCGCGUCCGAUUAGCUAGUUGGUGAGGUAACGGCCCACCAAGGCGACGAUCGGUAGCCGGACUGAGAGGUUGAACGGCCACAUUGGGACUGAGACACGGCCCAGACUCCUACGGGAGGCAGCAGUGGGGAAUAUUGCACAAUGGGGGAAACCCUGAUGCAGCGACGCCGCGUGGAGGAAGAAGGUCUUCGGAUUGUAAACUCCUGUUGUUGAGGAAGAUAAUGACGGUACUCAACAAGGAAGUGACGGCUAACUACGUGCCAGCAGCCGCGGUAAAACGUAGGUCACAAGCGUUGUCCGGAAUUACUGGGUGUAAAGGGAGCGCAGGCGGGAAGACAAGUUGGAAGUGAAAUCCAUGGGCUCAACCCAUGAACUGCUUUCAAAACUGUUUUUCUUGAGUAGUGCAGAGGUAGGCGGAAUUCCCGGUGUAGCGGUGGAAUGCGUAGAUAUCGGGAGGAACACCAGUGGCGAAGGCGGCCUACUGGGCACCAACUGACGCUGAGGCUCGAAAGUGUGGGUAGCAAACAGGAUUAGAUACCCUGGUAGUCCACACCGUAAACGAUGAUUACUAGGUGUUGGAGGAUUGACCCCUUCAGUGCCGCAGUUAACACAAUAAGUAAUCCACCUGGGGAGUACGACCGCAAGGUUGAAACUCAAAGGAAUUGACGGGGGCCCGCACAAGCAGUGGAGUAUGUGGUUUAAUUCGACGCAACGCGAAGAACCUUACCAAGUCUUGACAU
rnacentral:rRNA from 1 species